rnacentral:rRNA from 1 species
CCUACGGGAGGCAGCAGUGGGGAAUAUUGCGCAAUGGGGGAAACCCUGACGCAGCAACGCCGCGUGAGUGAGGAAGGACUUCGGUCUGUAAAGCUCUGUUAAUGUGGAAAAAUGGUUAGUGGUCUAAUAGGCCAUUGAUUUGAUGGUACACAUAGAGGAAGCACCGGCUAACUUCGUGCCAGCAGCCGCGGUAAUACGAAGGGUGCAAGCGUUGUUCGGAUUUAUUGGGCGUAAAGCGCGCGUAGGCGGACCUGCAAGUCAGAUGUGAAAUCUCGGGGCUCAACCUCGAAACUGCGUCUGAAACUACAGGUCUAGAAUCUUGGAGGGGGAAGGGAAUUUCUCAUGUAGGGGUAAAAUCCGUAGAUAUGAGAAGGAACACCAGAGGCGAAGGCGCCUUCCUGGACAAGUAUUGACGCUGAGGCGCGAAAGCGUGGGGAUCAAACAGGAUUAGAUACCCUGGUAGUCCACGCUGUAAACGAUGAAUACUAGAUAUUGCAGGAUUUGACCCCUGCAGUGUCGUAGCUAACGCGUUAAGUAUUCCGCCUGGGAAGUACGGUCGCAAGACUAAAACUCAAAGGAAAUUGACGGCUGAGACGAGCGACGACGACGACGAGGGAGGAGG